AAUAGAGUUCAGAAGCCUAUAGCGGUAUGAAGCUGAAACAAAGUAGGAGAAAUGGAUGUACUCAGGGAAGACAGAGCAAGGAAGAGAAAUUGGGAAAGUAAAUCAGCUUUCUUCAGGUCUCAUAUGGUGAAGGUGUGGAAGGAAGAGAAGCUGCAUCCAGCAGAGCAGGAAAGAGCAGACAGGGAAGAGGUAGAAAUCCACAUUUCAUUGAAUGAAUAUGCCCUUUGUGUACUGAGAAAGAGACAAUGAGGUGGACAAAAGCAGCCCAUUAUUUGGAGAAUGCUCUGGGAGGAAAGGAAGGAAUGAUGCCUUCAUUCAUCCAGUGGGAUUAUUUAAUGGGUAGGGUAGCUGGCUUUCAGAAGGUGGAGAACGGAGGAAUGUUUCAAAUCUUUACUGGCAGGAAUAUCUAUCAAAGUGAUGAUGAGAAUCAAAGAUAGAAGAGAAAGAAAGGGAGGUGUUGGGCUGACAGAACAAGAGAGAUGUUCCUGUGCUACUCAGGAUGGGUGGAAUCAAAGAAGAGGAAGUGCAUUCUUGUGAGACAAUGUUUUCUCUCUAUGUGUUAGAAGCUGAGCUCUGUGACAGCCUCCUACAGUAAUGAAUCUAUUACCUGGAGGAAGGACUGCUCCUGACUUAGCUCAAGAAAUUGGGAACUCUUUUUCUGUUCCUUUCUCUGUCCUAGACUACUUGUUAUGUGCAUCACUGUGGUGGCACGUGGGUCUUUCUGUUUUUCUCAGUUCUCUGAAGCACAUAGGAAGAAAGAAGGACUUGUUUUCCUGUUCCGUAGAAGCUUUUCAUAACCCCCCCAUAAGGCUCCAUAAGGGCAGGCUUUGGCUUGAAAUCACAGCUUCAGUGCUCAAGGUUUAUCCCUGUCUGCUUUCCCUUCAUCCUUCUUCACGUGGCUUAAGGAAAAAUUUGUUGUGCUCCAGUAUCCAACCUAUGUAUGAACAGACACAGCUUUUUCUAGCAUGCUCAGCAAACGUUUCAGUGUUCAUCAGAAAACAGCUCUUUGAAGUCAUUCUUUAUUACUCGAAACCUGUUUGUGGGUCUUGCUUGUUGAACAGAAUUGUUCUUACUCUUUGAUCGGAUGAGGUGCUUGAGCAAAUUCAGUGGAAACGUGCAUGUGGAGAUAUAAAAGUGUGGGGAUUUUUGUGCUUAGCUACCAAAUGUUAAUGUUUGCUGGAAAUAAAAUUGCUUGCAUGAAUGUCUUAAGC
rnacentral:lncRNA from 7 species